ACUAUUUUCUCAAAUAGGCAUGAUUAUUUUGCAAUAUAAAUGUGAUCAAAUUGACGUCGUCUAGGUGUAUAAUCAUCGUCUAGGAUUCAGGUGCAUGGUAAGACCAUCUCAAGUACUGAUAAAAACUAUCCUAUAUAUUUAUAUAGUUGAUCCCACCUACUGUAGUUAUUAUUGCUAAUUUCAUGUCCUCUCGUGCAGCCACAUCAUCACUUUUAUCUUCAUCGUUAGAUGAAUCUAUAUCUUUGAUGUCAGCAGUUGGAUAGAAUUCUCUCCCAUGAUACAGUCCGGCAAUAAACAACCAAUUCAUGAGCAGUCGAGUGCGAGCCACCACAGCCGCAAUACGCAAGCGAGCGCGAAUACCAGUCUCCACAAUUCCAUUAGGCAUGGUUGUGGUGAUAGAGCUUCUGCACUGGAUGAGAAUUGUAAUUGGCAGCGAAGCCCGGCCGUCAACCUGUCCUCCUGCCUCCCCUAUCGAAACUACCAGACGACCACUCGACUUUGAUAACUACAAGAGGCAUCGAUCUUUUGUUUUAAGAGAAGGGUAUUUUUUUUACCUGGCCUCUAUAUACAAUCGGAUAUAUACGGCUUUUUAAAUUAGAAACUUAGCCUAUUAAAUAAGGAACUUAGCUCUCAAAUAACCAAAUUUGAAAUUCGCUACUAUGGAGAUUUGAACUCAAGACCUUAGGUGCUACUCAUGUCACUGCAUUGAUAGGAACUUAGCCUAUUAAACAAGGCAUCAAUCUGAUCCAACGAGCAUUGCUAUUA
rnacentral:lncRNA from 1 species